rnacentral:rRNA from 1 species
AAUCUUCCACAAGGGACGAAAGUCUGAUGGAGCAACGCCGCGUGAGUGAAGAAGGUUCUCGGAUCGUAAAUCUCUGUUGUUAGGGAAGAACAAGUACAGGAUGAACUGUCUGUACCUUGACGGUACCUUACCAGAAAGCCGCGGCUAACUACGUGCCAGCCGCCGCGGUAAUACGUAGGGGGCAAGCGUUGUCCGGAAUUAUUGGGCGUAAAGCGCGCGCAGGCGGUCCUUUAAGUCUGAUGUGAAAGCCCACGGCUCAACCGUGGAGGGUCAUUGGAAACUGGAGGACUUGAGUACAGAGGAGGAAAGCGGAAUUCAACGUGUAGCGGUGAAAUGCGUAGAGAUGUGGAGGAACACCAGUGGCGAAGGCGGCUUUCUGGUCUGUAACUGACGCUGAGGCGCGAAAGCGUGGGGAGCAAACA